rnacentral:rRNA from 1 species
GACGAACGCUGGCGGCGUGCUUAACACAUGCAAGUCGAGCGGUAAGGCCCUUUCGGGGGUACACGAGCGGCGAACGGGUGAGUAACACGUGGGUGACCUGCCCUCAGCUCUGGGAUAAGCCUGGGAAACCGGGUCUAAUACCGGAUAUGACUCCAUGACGCAUGUUGUGGGGUGGAAAGCCUUGUGCGGCUGAGGAUGGGCCCGCGGCCUAUCAGCUUGUUGGUGGGGUGANGGCCUACCAAGGCGACGACGGGUAGCCGGCCUGAGAGGGCGACCGGCCACACUGGGACUGAGACACGGCCCAGACUCCUACGGGAGGCAGCAGUGGGGAAUCUUGGACAAUGGGCGCAAGCCUGAUCCAGCCAUGCCGCGUGGGUGAAGAAGGCCUGGUGUAAG